UUUAGGUCCAAUCUAAUUCUGCAUCAUGGCUUAUUUAUGUAGUCUCGCUUUUGGACCAGAAAAAUCCCCAUUUUUUAUUAUCCUUGUGCUUGUAACACACUCCAGUUCAAUGCACACGAGAAACGUAAAAGAACACUA
rnacentral:snoRNA from 12 species